UUAGAAGGUUAAGCAGUGUUAUUUAUGGCUUAGUAACUGGUUCAUCAAUGAGUGAGGAUGCUAUAAAUGUAAAAUUGUUUAGCUAAAAUGGAGCAAAAUCUACCAAUAAAAACACAAUUUUUUUUUUGGUGACUGAUAAUAGAUUCUAUAGAAUCCUAUAUUACUGCAGGAAUAUGGCUAAUGGUCAUGCUCUGUACAUUGAUAUGAUGGUAACUAUGUUUACUAGCACACUGAGGACAAAUGAAUAUGUAGAAGUCUGU